rnacentral:rRNA from 1 species
CCUACGGGAGGCAGCAGUGGGGAAUAUUGCACAAUGGGGGGAACCCUGAUGCAGCGACGCCGCGUGGGUGAGGAAGUACUUCGGUAUGUAAAGCCCUAUCAGCAGGGAAGAAAAUGACGGUACCUGACUAAGAAGCCCCGGCUAACUACGUGCCAGCAGCCGCGGUAAUACGUAGGGGGCAAGCGUUAUCCGGAUUUACUGGGUGUAAAGGGAGCGUAGACGGCGUGCCAAGUCUGAUGUGAAAGGCCGGGGCUCAACCCCGGGACUGCAUUGGAAACUGGCAUGCUGGAGUGCUGGAGGGGCAAGCGGAAUUCCUAGUGUAGCGGUGAAAUGCGUAGAUAUUAGGAGGAACACCGGUGGCGAAGGCGGCUUGCUGGACGGUAACUGACGUUGAGGCUCGAAAGCGUGGGGAGCAAACAGGAUUAGAUACCCUUGUAGUC